UUUUGGAAUGGGGUCAUUGGUUUCUUCUUUAUUGCUGGAUUGUAAUUUUACUUUCUGGAGGGCUCCUGACCAUGUUUAAGGUCUGUCAGCAGAAAGAGCGGCAACUGCACCUGGAGACUGCUUCCUUUAGAGCGUGGGGUGAACCCUUGAAACAGGGGCUGUGACCUUUCCCUUUUGGUUUUUGGGGCAUCCUGACCACAUCUAAGUGCUGACAGAUGUAUGGGCAAUGUUGAUCUCUGGAGACUGUCUCCUGUGGAGCAUGAGGCUGUUAUGCACUGCUUCCAACCGUGCAGAGUUGUUUAAGGGCAUUCUGUGCACCCUUAGGUGUAAUAAGUCUUCAUCUUUAUAGGAAGCCAAGCUCUGGUUCCCAACAGCGUGAUGAAGUGAAGCCCCUGCUCUGCUGAAUACUGGGACUGGCCCAGAGAGGCUCUGACGGAUGUGGAUUAUCCCAGCUGGAGUACUUGGUACCAUUGGUGGUGAUCUCGUCCAACUGCCACACAACGAACAGGAACAUCCACAGCCAGAUCAGUGCCCAGAGCCUGACCCAGCCUCACCUUGGAAGGGACAGGGCAUCCAUCAUGUCUGGGUGUUGAAAGGCUGUUACCAGAUCACCUCGGAGCCUUCACUUCUGCAGGCUGAGCAGCUCCAGCUCUCUUUCUUCAUAGGAAAGGCGUUCCAUCCCUCGGUUCAUAUCUGUGGCCAUUCUCUGGAUGUGCUCCAACAGCUCCACGUCUGUCCUGCACUGCAGGCAUCCACAUCCACACACAGCACCUCCAGGUGAGGCCUCCCAGCACAGAGCAGAGGGGCAGGACCACCUCCCUUCGCCUGCUGACCGCACAUCUUUGGAUGGAGCCCAGCAUACGGUUGGCUUUCUGGGCUGGAAGGCGCGUUGCUGAGUGCCACUACUCAGCCUGUUGAGGUCCCUCUGGAUGGCAUCCCGUCCCUCUGGUGUGUCACCGCACCCCACAGCUCGGUGUCAUUAGGGUGCACUCCACCCUACUGUCAAUGUCACUGAUGAAGGGGCAAUCCCAGAUGUUUGUGCAAACUCAGCAAAGAACACCUUGAGAGCAGCCCCACAGAGAAGGAUCCUGGUGGGUGAGAAGCUGGACGUCAGCCAGCAGAGCGGGCUUGCAGCCUGGAAGGCCAGCUGUGUUCUGGGCUGCAUUAAAAGAGGAGCGGCCA